UAGGGAAUCUUCGGCAAUGGACGAAAGUCUGACCGAGCAACGCCGCGUGAGUGAAGAAGGUUUUCGGAUCGUAAAACUCUGUUGGUAGAGAAGAACGUUGGUGAGAGUGGAAAGCUCAUCAAGUGACGGUAACUACCCAGAAAGGGACGGCUAACUACGUGCCAGCAGCCGCGGUAAUACGUAGGUCCCGAGCGUUGUCCGGAUUUAUUGGGCGUAAAGCGAGCGCAGGUGGUUUAUUAAGUCUGGUGUAAAAGGCAGUGGCUCAACCAUUGUAUGCAUUGGAAACUGGUAGACUUGAGUGCAGGCGAGGAGAGUGGAAUUCCAUGUGUAGCGGUGAAAUGCGUAGAUAUAUGGAGGAACACCGGUGGCGAAAGCGGCUCUCUGGCCUGUAACUGACACUGAGGCUCGAAAGCGUGGGGAGCAAACAGGAUUAGAUACCCUGGUAGUCCACGCCGUAAACGAUGAGUGCUAGAUGUAGGGAGCUAUAAGUUCUCUGUAUCGCAGCUAACGCAAUAAGCACUCCGCCUGGGGAGUACGACCGCAAGGUUGAAAC
rnacentral:rRNA from 1 species